CCCUUAGAUGUUCUGGGCCGCACACGCGCUACACUGAAGGAGGCAGCGUGUACUCCUGGAUCGAAAGUUUUGGGUAACCCGCGAAUCUCCUUCGUGCUAGGGAUUGAGGUUUGCAAUUAUCCUUCAUGAACGAGGAAUUCCCAGUAAGUGCAAGUCAUAAGCUUGCGCUGACUACGUCCCUGCCCUUUGUACACACCGCCCGUCGCUACUACCGAUUGAAUGAUUUAGUGAGGACUUCGGACUGGGACCGAUGCGGCUUUCGGGCUGCGUCGGUAUUCUGGAAAGAUGUCCAAACUGUAUCAUUUAGAGGAAGUAAAAGUCGUAACA
rnacentral:rRNA from 1 species